GCGGGGUGCGAGUGGCGCAGUCGGAGCCCGUUGCGGCCCCUGAGGAAGCGAGGAGGCGUCGGCGUCGGCUGAGGCGGGCGGACCGGCGAGGCGAGGCGGCGGCCCCAGGCCCGAGGGACUCGGGAGCUCGAGCAGCGGCGGCGGCAAGACCUCUCCCCCUCGGAGGCGGCGGGCGGAGGCGGCGGGAGCGGUGGUGCCCCCCCCCGGGCACGGGGCCAUGUACAACGGGAUCGGGCUGCCGACGCCCCGGGGCAGCGGCACCAACGGCUACGUCCAGCGCAACCUGUCCCUGGUGCGGGGCCGCCGGGGUGAGCGGCCUGACUACAAGGGAGAGGAGGAACUGCGGCGCCUGGAGGCUGCCCUGGUGAAGCGGCCUAAUCCUGACAUCCUGGACCACGAGCGCAAGCGGCGCGUCGAGCUGCGAUGCCUCGAGCUGGAGGAGAUGAUGGAAGAGCAGGGGUACGAGGAACAGCAAAUUCAGGAAAAAGUGGCGACCUUUCGACUCAUGUUGCUGGAGAAGGAUGUGAACCCUGGGGGCAAGGAGGAGACCCCAGGGCAGAGGCCAGCGUGAGUGUUGCGCUCUCCCUCGAUGACUCUGGACUCUACUCUGGCUGCUGGCUGCUGCUGCUGUCCUUUUCCUUACAUGGGACUUCCUCCCUGCUUUCGUCUGCCUUUCCCAUGCCUUAUUUGGCUCCUGCUUAUACUUGUGUUCUGAAUAUGGCUCUGUCCUUUAUAUUUCCUUCAGACUUUUGCCCUUCUUUUCUCUAGGGUCACGGAGACUCACCAGUUGGCAGAAUUAAAUGAGAAGAAGAAUGAAAGACUCCGUGCUGCCUUUGGCAUCAGUGAUUCUUACGUAGAUGG
rnacentral:sRNA from 1 species